UACAGAGGGUGCUAGCGUUGUUCGGAAUCAUUGGGCGUAAAGGGCGUGUAGGCGGUUUGUUAAGUCAUGUGUGAAAGCCCCCGGCUCAACCGGGGAACGACGCAUGAAACUGGCAAGCUAGAGUACCGAAGAGGGGGGUGGAAUUCCCGGUGUAGCGGUGAAAUGCGUAGAUAUCAGGAGGAACACCGGUGGCGAAGGCGGGUCUCUGGGCAACAACUGACGCUGAGGAGCGAAAGCGUGGGGAGCGAACAGG
rnacentral:rRNA from 1 species